AGCGCAGACGGUCUUUUAAGUCUAAUGUGAAAGCCUUCGGCUCAACCGAAGAAGUGCAUUGGAAACUGGGAGACUUGAGUGCAGAAGAGGACAGUGGAACUCCAUGUGUAGCGGUGAAAUGCGUAGAUAUAUGGAAGAACACCAGUGGCGAAGGCGGCUGUCUGGUCUGCAACUGACGCUGAGGACUCGAAAGCAUGGGUAGCGAACA
rnacentral:rRNA from 1 species